CCCUACGGGGCGCAGCAGGCGGGAGGGAGCGGCCAGGGUGCUGUCCGGCGAAAAGUGACGGUGGCGGGCAAGGAAUGGAGCGCCAAGGACGGUCGCAAAUUCAUCGACGUGAUGCUCGCCAAGUACCCAGGCAUCAAGGCCAAAAUGUGGAAGGUUUUGGAGGGCCUGCUCGAUCCGGCCACCGAGAACCUGAAGGUCAACUCGAAUGACGCGCUCUACCAAAUCAUGCUGCGGCGGUACUGGCUUAUGGAAGGGAUGCGAACCGUCGGCGAAGGGAAGUGUUGCGGCUACGCCAGGCCUUCGCCGCCCUUCUACCCGCAGGUUAACGUACGGGCAAAGAAGUACUGGAAUUGGCGGGAGGGC
rnacentral:rRNA from 1 species